rnacentral:snoRNA from 1 species
CUGCAUGUUAAACCAAGAGCUAUGGCUUGGCAAAUAGCCACAGAAUCUCCAACAACAUGCAAGAACAAGAUGGGAGGGACUUUGACAUCUCAGGCUUUUGUCAGCUAUGGAUGUCACUCUACCCUCCGACACAC